rnacentral:rRNA from 1 species
AAUGAACGUUGGCGGCGUGGAUUAGGCAUGCAAGUCGAGCGAGAACCCGCAAGGGGGACAGCGGCGAACGGGGUAGGAAUACGUAGGUAACGUACCCUCGGGGCGAGGACAGCCACGGGAAACUGUGGGUAAUACUCGAUAAACUUCCCAAUCAUUAUGGAAGGGGAAGCAAUGGGUGUGAUUCCACCUGAGGAGCGGCUUACGCAGUAUCAGCUAGUUGGUGAGGUAACGGCUCACCAAGGCUACGACGCUUAGGGGGUGUGAGAGCAUGGCCCCCACCACUGGCACUGAGACACUGGCCAGACACCUACGGGUGCUGCAGUCGAGAAUCUUCGGCAAUGGACGCAAGUCUGACCGAGCGACGCCGCGUGUGGGAUGAAGGCCUUCGGGUUGUAAACCACUGUCAGAGGGGAUGAAGUGUACGAGAGUUAUCUCUUGUAUUUGACAGAGCCUCAGAGGAAGCACGGGCUAAGGUUCGUGCCAGCAGCCGCGGUAAU